UCGGUUGAUCCUNCCNGNACCUGACUGCUAUNGGAUUGAUACUAANCCAUGCGAGUCANUGUAGUAAUACAAGGCAGACGGCUCAGUAACGCGUAGUCAACCUNCCUUNAUGGACGGGGAUAACCUCGGGAAACUGAGAAUAAUACCCGAUAGAACAUUAUUCCUGGAAUGGUUUAUGUUUCAAAUAAUUUAUUGCCGUAGGAUGGGACUGCGGCCUAUCGGUUUGUUGGUGAGGUAAUGGCCCACCAAGACUAUUACAGGUACGGGCUCUGAGAGGAGUAGCCCGGAGAUGGGUACUGAGACACGGACCCAGGCCCUAUGGGGCGCAGCAGGCGAGAGAACUUUGCAAUGUGCGAAAGCACGACAAGGUUAAUCCGAGUGGUUUCUGCUAAAGGAACCUUUUGACAGUCCUAGAAACACUGUUGAAUAAGGGGUGGGCAAGUUCUGGUGUCAGCCGCCGCGGUAAAACCAGCACCUCAAGUGGUCAGGAUGAUUAUUGGGCCUAAAGCAUCCGUAGCCUGCUUUGUAAGUUUUCGGUUAAAUCCAUACGCUCAACGUAUGGGCUGCCGGAAAUACUACAAAGCUAGGGAGUGGGAGAGGUAGACGGUACUCGGUAGGAAGGGGUAAAAUCCUUUGAUCUAUUGAUGACCACCUGUGGCGAAGGCGGUCUACCAGAACACGUCCGACGGUGAGGGAUGAAAGCUGGGGGAGCAAACCGGAUUAGACACCCGGGUAGUCCCAGCUGUAAACAAUGCAAACUCGGUGAUGCAUUGGCUUGAUGCCAAUGCAGUGCCGCAGGGAAGCCGUUAAGUUUGCCGCCUGGGAAGUACGUACGCAAGUAUGAAACUUAAAGGAAUUGGCGG
rnacentral:rRNA from 1 species